rnacentral:rRNA from 1 species
AGGAUGAACGCUGGCGGCGUGCCUAAUACAUGCAAGUCGAACGAGGUCUUCGGACCGAGUGGCGAACGGGUGAGUAACACGUUGGUACCUACCCCGAAGUGGGGAAUAACUGCCCGAAAGGGUGGCUAAUACCGCAUAAUACCGCAAGGUUAAAGCAGUAAUGCGCUUCGGGAGGGGCCUGCGUCCCAUUAGCUAGUUGGUAGGGUAAUGGCCUACCAAGGCGACGAUGGGUAGCUGGAUCGAGAGGUUGACCAGCCACACUGGGACUGAGAUACGGCCCAGACUCCUACGGGAGGCAGCAGUAAGGAAUCUUCCACAAUGGACGAAAGUCUGAUGGAGCAACGCCGCGUGCAGGAUGACGGCCUUCGGGUUGUAAACUGCUUUUAUAUGGAAGAUUAUGACGGUACCAUAUGAAUAAGGACCGGCUAACUACGUGCCAGCAGCCGC